rnacentral:rRNA from 1 species
GAUGAACGCUGGCGGCGUGCCUAAUACAUGCAAGUCGAGCGAACGGACGAGAAGCUUGCUUCUCUGAUGUUAGCGGCGGACGGGUGAGUAACACGUGGAUAACCGACCUAUAAGACUGGGAUAACUUCGGGAAACCGGAGCUAAUACCGGAUAAUAUUUUGAACCGCAUGGUUCAAAAGUGAAAGACGGUCUUGCCGUCACUUAUAGAUGGAUCCGCGCUGCAUUAGCUAGUUGGUAAGGUAACGGCUUACCAAGGCAACGAUGCAUAGCCGACCUGAGAGGGUGAUCGGCCACACUGGAACUGAGACACGGUCCAGACUCCUACGGGAGGCAGCAGUAGGGAAUCUUCCGCAAAGGGCGAAAGCCUGACGGAGCAACGCCGCGUGAGUGAUGAAGGUCUUCGGAUCGUAAAACUCUGUUAUUAGGGAAGAACAUAUGUGUAAGUAACUGUGCACAUCUUGACGGUACCUAAUCAGAAAGCCACGGCUAACUACGUG